rnacentral:rRNA from 1 species
UACGUAGGGGGCAAGCGUUACUCGGAUUCAUUGGGCGUAAAGCGAAUGUAGGCGGUUUGGUAAGUCAGAUGUGAAAUCCCUCAGCUCAACUGAGGAAUUGCCUUUGAUACUGCCAGACUAGAGGACAGGAGAGGAAAGUGGAAUUCCCGGUGUAGCGGUGGAAUGCGUAGAUAUCGGGAGGAACACCAGAGGCGAAGGCGGCUUUCUGGACUGAUCCUGACGCUGAGAUUCGAAAGCUAGGGGAGCAAACAGG